CCCAAGUAGCUGGGAUUACAAGCGCCUGCCAACACGCCCAGCUAAUUUUUGUAUUUUUAAUAGAGAUGGGGUUUCACCAUUUUGGCCAGGCUGGUCCUGAACUCCUGACCUCCUGAUCCACCUGCCUCGGCCUCCCAAAGUGCUGGGAUUACAGGCGUGAGCCACUGCGUCCGGCCUUGCCUCACCGUUAAAAGACUACAAUAUGACGUGAUACAUCAGCUUUUUCGAAGUCCAGUGUACGUCAGACCCUGAGGCCUGCAGUAUCUGGAAUGGUGUUGCUGGAUGUGCAAAACUGCCAGGCUCUGGCUUGUGGUGUUCUCAUCUACCAGAUCAUUCCUGGGAGGCCCAAUUUGGCCAGCUGGCUCACCUCUGCCGGUGGUAUUGCUAGCAUUGCACAUUGGAACUGCAGCUUGGGAAAGUGAUAGAAACCAAACACAUGGUGGGUACAAAGCAAGUUUGUUGUAUUUUAUCCACAUUAGUAUUUUGGAUGUUUCAAUAUUUAAACAUUUCAAAAAGCAAAAUCAAUGAUAAUACUUCUUGAAUGUGUUGUGAACAAUGCAAGCCUUUUAUUAAAAAUUAUGGAAUAUUCGAAAGAAAUGUUUUUCUUACAAGAGAGCAGAGAAUAAUUACUCAGGGUUCCUGUGUCAAAGCCUCUAGGGCCCCUUUACUGUCCAGAAUUCUUAGUAAGUGGAAAACCUUUCCCAAGCACAAUGAAGUCUCAACCCUGAUACGGGCAGGACAGCAAAAGACCUGUCUCCUCUUUCCAGAGCAAACCCCAGUGGUUGCACCUGUCCUCCCAUUACACUUUGGGGAUAAACCCUGGAGGCCAUAGUGUAGGGGACCAGUUUCAUGGGUCUUGUUGCCAAAGCUUACUUUUUUGAUCCUACUGCUAAAUUCUGACCCUUCCUCCAAUUGAUCUGCUUUCCAAAAAGAGCAUACCAACACCUGCACAAACCAUUUGAUGUGGUGCAGUAAGCUGUUUCAUCCAAGUGUUCCAAAGCCAUAGGAUGAGCAAGGGGGAAAAACUUAGACCUGUAUAGGAUCUUCCCCCAGGUAGUUACUCUUUCACAGGGGGUGCAUGGGAGACAGGCUGCUGUUGUGCCAUCCUUUCCAUUACAUAAUGAUAACAACUGUUACUUGGAAUGCUUUAAUGCUUGAUGUUAUUUAUGUUUAAAUAUUUGCUGUAUUCCUGGCUCUGUGCUAAAUGCUAUGCCUGCAUCUUAAAAAAUCCUUAAAAUAACUCAAGGUAGGUACCAUUGUUGCUUCCAUUCUCCAGAUGGGACACUAAGACUUUAAGAAGUUAAAUAGCUCACCUGAAAACACACAGCUAGUAAGUAACACAAUGGAGACUUGAACCCAAGUCUAUUCUACUCUAGACCAUGGACUCCAAGAUUAAUUAAUUAUGCAAAUAAGGAAUGUGGAGAGUUCAGCCUUGAGCAAAGGGAGAUUAGCUUGUUUUGCACCAACUCUUCUGCUGAGGAAAGGACAAAAGCCAGAAUAUACAUACCUAUUCAGGGAUCAGAGGGCUGUUGAGAAAGCAAGGGCUAAUAUUCGAGAGACCUACAUUUGAUACUGUUCGUUUCCCCCUCAAGGGACUUGCUAAUUCAAGGGCAGGGGCUGAGAAACUGAACAGAAUUUGUAGAAGACUAAUGCAGACCAAAAAUUAGAGUUGGGGUCCAAGUAGAAGCAGCCCUGGAAAACACCCCAGACUUUCUCGUGGGACCCCAAAGAGCUACUCUUUGAUUAAAGGUGAAUUGGUUAUGGGCCUGUCCUCACAAGGACUGAAGCCCAGCCUCAGAUCUAGUGGAUAGCCAGAAGCAAAAACAAAGCCCCUCUGAAGGAGGACAUGGUCUAAUUUCUCAAAUUUUCUCUAUUAAUUGUUUUCAAAGUCUGCUUAAGAAAUAGGAAUGCAAAAACACAAGAUUCGACCAACAAUGAGAAAGUGAACAAUAGAAACAGACCUCCAGGAAAUUCACGUAGUUAACAUUAUCUGACCGGUGUCUUACAAUAACUAUGAUUAAAAUGUUCAUGAAUUAAAUGACCAAAUGGAACAACUUCAGGAGAGAACUGGACACUAUGUUUAAAAUUCUAGAAUUGAAAAAUAAUAUAACAAUUUAAGAAAUCAGUAGAUGGCUCUGAUAGACACAACUUAAGAGAUAGGUAAUGAAAUGAAAGAUAAGAAAAUAUCCAGACUGGUGCUGGGGGUAAAUAGGAAGACAACUAUUCGAAGAGUUAAUGGUUAAGGUUGUUCCCAAAUUAAUGAAAGACAUUAAGCCACAUAAAUAAGAAAUGCUGUUGACCUCUAAGCAGGAUAAGUUACAAUGAAAGUUAUACUUAAUUACUUCAUAGUAAAACUACUGGAAAACAAAGACUAAUUUUAAAAGUAGCCAGAGGAAAAAUAUAUAUUACUUUCAAAGGAGCAACAGCAAGCCUUGAGAGGGAAUUUUCAGCAGAAGUAAUGAUAGUGGAAAAUGGAAUGGUGUUUUCAAAGAGCUUCAAGAAAAUAAUAGUCAACCUAGAAGACUAUGAGGCAAAAAUAUCCUUCCAAAGACACGUCCAGACAAAGGAAAAUAGAAUUUGCCACCAAUGAAAAGUACCAAAAGUAUGAAAGGAAAGUACUAAAGGGUGUUGUUGGAGCAGAAGGAAAAUGAUCACUGACCACAGCUGGAGGUGCAGAAAGGCAUUGAAAGGCAAUGGAAAGGGUAAGUAUGUGUAUAAAACUAAAUAAAUAUUGAAUGUGUGAAACAACUUUUUACUUUCUGGGGUCUUAAAUAUAUAAAGAACUAAAAUACAUCACCAAGAGAAGCACGUUAAGUGUGGAGGGAGGUAAAUGUAGGGGUCCCCAACAUUUCUGGCACCAGAGACCAGUUUUGUGGAAGAUAAUUUUUUCCCAGACAGUGGGUGGAGGGGUGGAGGGAUUGGGAGCAUGGUGUUGGGAUGACACUGUCCCACCUUAAAUCAUCAGGCAUUAGAUUCUCAUAAGGAGUGCACAACCUAGAUCCCUCACAUGCACAGUUCACAAUAGGGUUAGCGCUCCUAUGAGAAUCUAAUGCUGCUGUUGGUCUGACAGGAGGUGGAGCUCAGGCGGUAAUGCUUGCUGGCUUGCCACCCAUCUCUUGCUGUGCAGCCCAGUUCCUGACAGGCCACUGACCAGUACUGGUUCACAGCCUGGGGACUGUGGACCCCUGGGUAAAUGGAAUUAAAGUAUUCUGAAGUCCUUGAAUUGUCUUGAAAGUGAAAAUGGUGGAGGCACUGAUUUAUAUUAGAAAUUAAUAAAUCAGGGGUACAUGUUUCAGUUUCUACGGUAUUUUGUAAAAGAAUAAGAGUAUGUAAAACUAACAAGAUAACAGAAGGAGAAUAUGAAAUAAAAUAAUCCAAAGGAAGGCAAAAAGAAAAAAAGGCGCAUAGAACAGAUGGGAACAAAUAGAAAACAAACACCCACAUGCAUCAAUCUCUACAUCAAGCAUAUGUGGACUAAAUAUUCCAAUUCAAAGGCAAUAUUAUUAUCACCCUGGAUAAAGAACAAAUAUAAUUCUCUGAGACUUAAAAACAACAUACCUUAAACAAGGAUACAGAAAGAUGGAAAGUAAAAGGAUGGAAAAAGGACUAUCAUGCAAGUAUUAACCAAAAGGAAGCUGGUGUAUUUAGUACACGAAGUGAACUUUCAGGUAUUACCAGAGUAUGAAGGAUAUUUCAUAAUGAUAAAGGGCUUGCUUUACCAGUACUAUACCGAUGGCUGAGGUAUUUGGGCUGUCUGUGAGGCUCAGAUGGGCUGCCUGUGGCCCUGCCUCACCUUGGAGAUGGCCCAGGAAGCUAACUGAGACUUGGAGUUGGUCGAAGAGGAGCCAGACUCUAAAUAUUUGAAGAUUGUGUGCGUAUGUGUGUGUGUGUUUAGGGGAAAACAUGAGAGGUAGAGUACUAUUCAAAAGGACAAGAAGUGGAACAUUUUCUUUUAUAAAUCAAAUAAAUGGUGGCUCUGAGCCUUCCCCCACCUCCUGCCUUUUUUGGGUCCAGAUUGCUAAGAAAUGUUAUUAAUGAUAGCUCACACUUACGACAUUAUUGCCUUCUAAGUGCUUUGUAGGUAUUAAUUUAUUUAAUCCUCACAACAGCCUUAGGAGACAGGCAUCAUCACUACCAUCGCCAUUUUACAGAUGGAAAAACCAGCAACCAUCAGAGCUGGUAUUCAAAAUAAGCCAAUUCAGAUUCCGAGUCCCGGCUCCUAACCAUGGAGUGGCCUCAGGGUUUUAUAGUUUGUCCGGCUCUUUGGAUGAACAUCACACCUCAUGGAGGAGAGUCCCUUCCAUUUUAACGGCUCCAGGUUGUCAUGGAAAUCCUCUGUAUACAAGAGGGUAAGGAGGAGGAUGAGAAGCAAUACAUGCUUAUUGGGACUUUCUAUCAUCCCAGGACUUAUCCAGGUCAUGAAAGACAAAGGCCGAGGAACUGCCCCAGACUGGAGGAGGCGGGAGACAUGGCAGCUGUGAAUGCACCGUGGGUCCUGAACCAGAAAAAGGAGCUCAGUGGGACGAUUGGUAACUUUUUGAUGCAAUCUGUCGAUUUUGCAUAUAGAAGACGGUAAUUUUAAAAACAGUGAAAGAAGAAAUGUAUCUGAGAAUUCAAUCAGUCAAUAGACUUUAGACAUCUGAAAAGAAAACACAAGAGGUUCGGUUGGUGCAAUGUUCCUUUCUUCCCAGGACUUUCUGGUCUUCAAGGCUUUCUCAUGAGACAGAAGACUGAUGGAUGUAGAAGUUUCUAAGAGGACAGUUACGCUGCCAUGUUUUGAAGCAGGAAGACGUUACCACUUCUCAAAGGUCUUUAAUUGCCUGACCACUGCUUCUCUUUGGAAGGCUGUCAGGGUGAUGGAAUCUCAGAUCACAGCACAGAUAAAAUGGACAAAGAAAGAAAGAUACAAGAAGGAUGUAAAAAUGUCCAUAAUGAACUCAUGUAUCUUGCGGAAACCUCUAAUCUAAUGAGAAUGGAUUUUGUUGAGAAGAUUGUACACCAACAAUUAAUUAUUCAUGGCAGAGA
rnacentral:lncRNA from 1 species